UCAGAUUUAGGACUUCCAGACUACAUCACAAGCAAAUAUGAAUCUGGAACCAAAUUUUUUUUUUUUUUUUUUUGUAGAUUGAUUUCAGUUUAUUUUUUAACAUCUUUAAUUGAAGAACACUGAUAAGUUUUACACAAACAAGAGGAUCUCGGAUGUUUAACAGGAGCGACUUUAUUCAUAGGUUUAGUUACAGACUACAUUUUAUAUAUGUCAAACACCUCUGGCCAAUGGCCUGGAACGUAAUUUGUUUCUGACUAAUUCUUUGCAUGCAGCCUUAAUACAGAAGCCACUUCACAACUGAAUCCAAGCUGAAGACUUAAGACAUAACAGGAGCGUAGACCAAUACAAUUGUGAGUCACAUUAAAUUGAAUACAGACCAUUAAGUUCAAACGUAGUUAUUCAGGUCAUCUAAAAUGUCCAUUGAACGAACCAUUACAUAUAUCAAGUCCAAACUGAAGUUUCAACCCCCAGUAGUGCAGUGUAUGAAUCUUGACUAUUCCAAGGCAAGACACGCAAGCAUCCUAUAAUGCAUUUAUUCUGUCUUGUUUUCUCACUUUCACUUUACCCUAAACCAUUUGUGCCUUAAAGAGAGUAAAUAAAAUAAAUAUUUAAUCAAAUGAAACUUUUUUUGUUGUAUUUAAAUACUUUACUGUACAUUACCGCAACACAGUAAUAAAAUAUUGAAUGACCAAAUGGUAUGCAGGUUUACCUGGUAAUUUUCAAUGAAAAUACUGUACAACCAAAGAACAAAACACUGAAAUUAACAUUAACUUAAACAUUAUUAAAUAUAUAG